UGGGGGAUAUUGCACAAUGGGGGAAACCCUGAUGCAGCAACGCCGCGUGAGUGAAGAAGUAUUUCGGUAUGUAAAGCUCUAUCAGCAGGGAAGAAAAUGACAGUACCUGACUAAGAAGCCCGGCUAACUACGUGCC
rnacentral:rRNA from 1 species